UACGUAGGGUGCAAGCGUUAAUCGGAAUUACUGGGCGUAAAGCGUGCGCAGGCGGCUUUGCAAGACAGAUGUGAAAUCCCCGGGCUCAACCUGGGAACUGCAUUUGUGACUGCAUCGCUGGAGUGCGGCAGAGAGGGAUGGAAUUCCGCGUGUAGCAGUGAAAUGCGUAGAUAUGCGGAGGAACACCGAUGGGGAAGGCAAUCCCCUGGGCCUUCACUGACGCUCAUGCACGAAAGCGUGGGGAGCAAACAGG
rnacentral:rRNA from 1 species